rnacentral:snRNA from 1 species
AGCUUUGCACACUGGCAGUAUCGUAGCCAAUGAGGUUUAUCCGAGGCACGAUUAUUGCUAAUGGAAAACUAAACAGGUGGUCCAGUGG